GGGCCUAAAGCAUCCGUAGCUGGUCUUGCAAGUCUCCGGUUAAAUCCACCUGCUCAACAGAUGGGCCGCUGGAGAUACUACAAGACUAGGGAGUGGGAGAGGCAGACGGUACUCGGGGGGUAGGGGUAAAAUCCUCUGAUCCUUUGAAGACCACCAGUGGCGAAGGCGGUCUGCCAGAACACGUUCGACAGUGAGGGAUGAAAGCUGGGGGAGCAAACCGGAUUAGAUACCCGGGUAGUCCCAGCUGUAAACGAUGCAGACUCGGUGAAGCGUUGGUUUAUGGCCAAUGCUGUGCCGCAGGGAAGCCGUUAAGUCUGCCGCCUGGGAAGUACGGUCGC
rnacentral:rRNA from 1 species